GGGGCUCGCGGGGCGCCCGAGCACGGGGGCCGGAGCCACCUCGGCUGCUGGAAAGCGGCGGCGGUGGCAGCUGCAGUCCUUCGAGGGGCCCCGGGGCAGCGGCCAGCUGCGGUCUGCGGCCUCCCGGCUCUGCGGGGCUCCGUCCUGCCGCCCCGCACCGCGGCCCGGCUGCGCUUGCUCCGACACUGCCUUGUCCUGCUGCGGGGGGGGCGGGUUGGGUUUUUUUUCUCCUUAAAAAGAGCAAACUGUUCUGAAGGGAUGAGUAAAAAUAGACGAGACAAUUCCUAGGGGUCAGCACGUUGUCUGGGGUGGCCUGGAAAUAGCGGCGGCGCGGGGGCCCGGGGCGGCAGCGGCGGCACAGCCGGAGCCGGCGGCUCCCGUGGCCGUCCCCGCGCCGGCAGGCAUUUCGCCCCGUCAUGCAUUCCCCGCGUGUUUGCCCGCUGCCGUCACUGCGGCGGCGGUGGCGGUGGGCUGGCCGGUUCCCCGCGCCGCCUGCCGUCGGCCACUCGCCCGCCGGCGCCGCGCGGGGUCUAACCGGAGGUGGGACGCCGCUGGCAGCGCCACGGGCAUGGCCGCUCCCUGCCCUGACACGGCCCCCGGGCUCCCGGCUCUGCAGCCAGCAGAGUGGCACGGCUGUCACGGCGUGGGCCUGGUGGCAUGAGCAGUGUAGGGGGGCACUGCGGCGUGGGCAUCGCUGCCUGCGCACCGUGGUGCACACGGGCACUGCGUCACGUGCAUUGCACCGCAGCACAGGCAUCGCAUCCCAGCACGGGCAUCGCAUCACGGCGUGGGCAUUGCAUCGUGGCAUGGGCAUUGCAGUGCAGCACGGGCACUACAUCGCAGCACGGGCAUUGCAUCGCAGUGCAGGUAUCGCACCGUGGCGCAGGCAUUGCAUCACGGGCAUGGCAUCGCGGCAUGGGCACUGCAUUGCGGGCAUCGCAUCCUUCACAGGCAUUGCGUCUUGGUGCGGGCAUUGCAUCACAGCACAGCGGAGCUCAGCUUGCCCUGCAAAGCGCAGUGGUCCAAGGCGUGCGAAGGCACGUGACUGCAAGGGGCAGCGGGUGCCCGUUCACAUAAUCUCCUCCCCGCCAGCACCGGUGAAGCACCGAAAGCCCCGGAAGCAAAGGGCAGCGCUGGGGUUGGCACGGGCCCAGCAUGUCCCCACAUGCCACUCCGUUCCCGGGAGCAGCUGCCCGCGGCAGCUCCUCCUCGGGCAGCGUUUUAGUGCAGCGGUGCUGCUGCAGCCCCCCCGGCAGGCGGCUCUGAGGCUGCUCAGCCCCCUGCCAGCCCCGCCGUGUUUUUAAGUGAAAGCAAUAAAAAUAAGCGCACGGGUGCGCGUGAGCCCA
rnacentral:lncRNA from 1 species